UACGUAGGGUGCAAGCGUUGUCCGGAAUUAUUGGGCGUAAAGAGCUCGUAGGCGGUUUGUCGCGUCUGCUGUGAAAAUCCAGGGCUUAACCCUGGACCUGCAGUGGGUACGGGCAGACUGGAGUGCGGUAGGGGAGAUCGGAAUUCCUGGUGUAGCGGUGAAAUGCGCAGAUAUCAGGAGGAACACCGGUGGCGAAGGCGGAUCUCUGGGCCGUAACUGACGCUGAGGAGCGAAAGCAUGGGGAGCGAACAGG
rnacentral:rRNA from 1 species